CUUGUCCCUUGCGCGUGCGCCGCCGGCCGCGAGGCGGAGGCGGUGGGCGGUGGCAGCUGCGGAGGGGGCGCGCGUGCUCUCGCUCCCUCGCGCCGGCUCGCGCUCCCGCGUCGGGGCUGAGGCGGUGGCGGUAGCGGCUGCGACUGAGGCGGCGGCGGAGGCUGAGGCGGCGCGGGGGGAGGGCCGGGAGGGGGGUGGUUGUGGGGGAUGGACCGGGCGCGGCGGCCGCAGUGGAAGGAGCAGGCGCUUGAGCUCGAGCGACGGCGCUGGCGGAGACGCCGGCUGCUCCUCCCCUCCCCGCCGGUAUUAAUCUCUGGAGAAGACAGAUCCACAGUUAGCACUUUCUUCAGAUGCUGACACUCUGUGAACAGUAGCUCUGGUGACAAGAUUUAGAAGACAGUGUCCAUCCUCCCAGAUUGGAUCUCUUUUUCAUAUGGAUCUUCUGUUUCUAUGUCUUUUUUAAAAAGAACUUUUGGGAAACCUUUUGGAUUACAACUGUUCAUCCUCAUCUAUGCAAAGAAAGGAAAGCUAUUGCUGGGAUUUUGAGGAGGUAUGUCUUUUUGUCUUCUGCAAAAUCACAUCACAUAGGCACUCAGAACAGUGUAAAAUAAUUACAUAUUCGGCUGGGUGCGGUGGUUCAAGCCUGUAAUCCCAGCACUUUGG
rnacentral:lncRNA from 13 species